CAGUAGCCGCGGUAAUACGUAGGUGGCAAGCGUUGUCCGGAAUUAUUGGGCGUAAAGCGAGCGCAGGCGGUUAGAUAAGUCUGAAGUUAAAGGCUGUGGCUUAACCAUAGUACGCUUUGGAAACUGUUUAACUUGAGUGCAAGAGGGGAGAGUGGAAUUCCAUGUGUAGCGGUGAAAUGCGUAGAUAUAUGGAGGAACACCGGUGGCGAAAGCGGCUCUCUGGCUUGUAACUGACGCUGAGGCUCGAAAGCGUGGGGAGCAAACAGGAUUAGAUACCCCGGUAGUCCCUGUCUCUUAUACC
rnacentral:rRNA from 1 species